rnacentral:lncRNA from 1 species
CAUCCGUGAACAUGACGUAUGAGGCCGGAACGUCAGUUUGGUAUCCAGACUCCGGAGCAACAAAUCAUAUAACUUAUGAGGAGUCGAACAUUCAAAAUGCAAAAGCUUGUAAUAGAUCGAUCAAUACCGCGGAUGGGCGCCCAAUGAGCAUCACACAUACGGGUAUAUCGGUAUUUUCUUCAAAUAACAGAAAUUUUGUUCUUGAUGAAUUGUUAUUAGUCCCAACUGCAACUAAAAACUUAUUAUCUGUGAAGAAGUUCUGUAGUGAUAAUAAGAUUUCGAUUGAAUUUAAUUCUCAGACUGUGAAGGUGAAAAAUCUGGAAUCAAAGAAGAUAUUAUUCGUUGGCAAAGAAAGUAAUGGGCUGUAUGAAUUACCCAUUAUGAUGCGAUCUGUAAUGCAGGCUAAUCAGGUGAACGAAGGACUGAAUGCUGAUGCAAGGACAUGGCAUUUAUGCCUAGGACACUUACAUGCUCGUGCAAUGGAAAAUCUUCAUAGAAAGAGAAUAAUCAAAAUUUCAGAUAUAGAUCAUCUUAAUAAAACUUAUGAUGAAUGUUGUAUAAAUAAAAGUCAUAAAUUGCAACA